AUAUUAAUUAUUUUUAGUUUUAAAGAGUUUAAAUAUCUAUUUUGUUUAAUUACCUAUAUUUCUGUUUAAAGUUACUCUGAUAGUAAAAAAUCUGGUUUACUGCGUAUUAUUGCAUAUUUUAAAGUAUUAAUACUGCAGAAUAUUAUUGCAUAUUUCAGGACUUUCAACUGCAUGUUUUGGCAAUUUUUACUGAAAAAAAAUCCGGUCUCUGGUUAUUACACAUUCAGAACAUGAAGUACUUCAAACUUCAUGCCUGGUGCACUUAAUAUCGAAUAUGUGCCUUUUAAUAAUUUGAUCAUCCUAUUGUAGAAUUGUAAAUGUCAGUUACGCACCAUGUGAAUUGUUGGUAUGAAUCACUCAACUUUAUCAGACUCCUCUUCUGAUAAGUUGUUUUGAUAGGGAAUGAUCAAAAGAAUCUUAAUUUAUCUUAAAAAUUUCAAUACUGUUGGACCGUGUGUUAAAUGGAAUUCUCCGAGCAUUUUAGGCUGUCGGAGUGUGCCGUGUGGUUAGGAGAAACAGAAAAUACCCACUGUUCAUGCUAAGAAUAUCUUUUUAUUUUUCCAGGGGCUGGACAAGUACCGUUCAACCUGAAAGCAGUGGGUUUUUGUGGCCCGGUUGUCCUUUGGACAUGAUGAUCUUUCGUUGUUGAUAGGACAAUCUGCACGGUUAAUAUUCUGGCACACAAAACCUUUUUCUUGCAUUCCGUUGAACCAUAAACAAAGGCAGGCUGAUCAAUGUGACGAUCUGGACUGGUACAGAAUACUUACAAUGAUCAGAGCCUGAUUUUGAGCCUGAGUUUUGUUUGAUUUGUGAUCGCAUUCCAAUUGAUUGGCCACCAAAAUUGUGCAGUCCAAACAUGCAGUGCAGGUGCCAAGAGAAAUAAAACAGAAAAAAAAGGAUAUCCAAAUGACUACAAUGUAAAUAAUACUGAGAUCAAAAUAAUUCUUACUUCCAUAUAAAAUACUAAAUAUUCAAAAUGCUUUAUUAAAAAAAAAAAAAAAAAAAAAAA